AGAACGAACGCUGGCGGCAUGCCUAAUACAUGCAAGUCGAACGAACACUUCGGUGUUAGUGGCGCACGGGUGCGUAACGCGUGGGAAUCUGCCCUUGGGUUCGGAAUAACAGUUGGAAACGACUGCUAAUACCGGAUGAUGACGAAAGUCCAAAGAUUUAUCGCCCAGGGAUGAGCCCGCGUAGGAUUAGCUAGUUGGUGAGGUAAAGGCUCACCAGGCGACGAUCCUUAGCUGGUCUGAGAGGAUGAUCAGCCACACUGGGACUG
rnacentral:rRNA from 1 species